rfam:Heligmosomoides polygyrus genome assembly, scaffold: HPBE_scaffold0013272
CAUCUCAGGUCCGGCGUCAGAGGGUUAUCGGUUAUCCCGCAAGGGAAUUUCCCUCUGGCACAACCUUGACCGGGAU